rnacentral:rRNA from 1 species
AUGCUUCGCUCCUUUGGUGAAGUCACCGGUUUGGUCACAAAUUGUCAUAAGAGCAGUGUCGUACCUAUCUGUUGUGGGGUUGUGGAUCUGGACGAGGUAUUGCAUUCCUUCCUGGCUAACAGGGCUACUUUCCCAAUGAAAUACCUUGGUCUGCCUCUUUCAGUGUCCCGUUUGAAAGUUGUCCAUUUCCAAUACCUGAAGGACAAAGUGGCUGCCAGGCUCAUCUCGUGGCUCAGCAAGCAUGUGGCUUCGGCUGGCCAUGCUGUUUUG